ACGAUCGCGUUGGGGUGCCCUUAUGGGCUGAGAGGCGGUGAGCCAACCCACGAACCUGAUCCGGGUCAUGCCGGCGGAGGAAACGGAUCGCGCACGCCC
rnacentral:ncRNA from 2 species